rnacentral:lncRNA from 1 species
AGGUGCCAAUAAAUAUGGGGCGGCAAUAAAUAAAUGGAAUAGAUGUGGUGGCAUCGAGGACUCCUUUUUCAUCUGAAAUACUUCCAAUAUAAGGAAAUAAAUCAAAUAAAUUGGACCUAAUCUAAUUAGAUCAAAGGCAAUAGGUUAAGACUAGCUCAAAUUCAUUUGAACUAACCUAAUUGGGAAUUUGAGUUAAUAUAA